AACCAGGCCACGCCUUUAACACUUUGUUUGGAAAUCUCCUCAGCUAAAUUCCAAGCUCAUCACUUACAACUUCUACUUUCCACCCAACGCUAGAACCAAAUUCAGAGAGGAAGACUGAGCACUUUAGUGUCUAAGCUCCUGUUAUAACAGGGUCUAUCCACCACUGCAUGCUGGAGUGAACAACAUAACAGUGAGAGAGAGAACUGCUACCUACCGUGCAGAAGGAAUUGAGCUGGCUAGGUUCUGAAUGCAUGCAGAGUUGAAUAACAUGAAAACAGCCAAAGAAAAAUCAUCAUGCAAGGAAAAUACAAUUGG
rnacentral:lncRNA from 1 species